UACGGAAGGUCCGGGCGUUAUCCGGAUUUAUUGGGUUUAAAGGGAGCGUAGGCCGUCUUAUAAGCGUGUUGUGAAAUGUCGGGGCUCAACCUGGGCAUUGCAGCGCGAACUGUGAGACUUGAGUGCGCAGGAAGUAGGCGGAAUUCGUCGUGUAGCGGUGAAAUGCUUAGAUAUGACGAAGAACUCCGAUUGCGAAGGCAGCCUGCUGUAGCGCAACUGACGCUGAAGCUCGAAAGCGUGGGUAUCGAACAGG
rnacentral:rRNA from 3 species